ACAAACACAUAGCAGCAAGUGUCAUUGAAAAGUUAAAAAUGUGUUUUAAGAAAGCUGAUUAGUUCUGAGAAGUGACUGCUUUUUGUCUUGCCUCUCAACAGAUAUAUCCAUGUGAUAAAAAAAUAGUGGUACAAUGAAAUUGCAUAUUUGCUUAGCGACAUGAUACAUACUUGCAAUGAGCACGGUGCCUGUGUUUACUAUAAAAAGCAACAGCCCAUGCUUGGUUAGGUUAGGCCCACUACAACGUGCAGGCAUGGGUGAUUGGCGCUUUUUUUAUUUCUGUGUGGUGAGGUUUAUUGACGUGCGUAUAGGUGCAGUGGCACGCAGUAUGGCUAGUACAAAAAAAGGGGGGGGGGCAGAUAUAUGUAGCUCACUGUACACGACACAGGGCAAAGGAAAUCCGUGUUCAGCAACUAUGUUAAAUGCCAUGUACGUAAAUUUUACAACGCUACUCGUUCGAAGCGCGCACAGGUGCAUAUUGAAGAAAAGUUUCCAGGGUAGAUAAUUUAGUUCGUAAUUUACACUAAUUUUGCUCUUACCACGAGACAUAAUAAUUUGAAUAUACUGCACGGAAAAACCUAGAGCGAAUUAAAUUGUGUGUCAGCUUCGUGUGUAUACAUAUAGUCUUUCCUAUGCAUCAGGUUUUUUGCGUAAUGCAUUAACAGUUGACAGCCUAUCUUAUGAUUCGUACUCUGUUUACAUUACAGUUGUUCAUAAGUUUACUCGUUUGUUUUGCGACUGAUGAAAUGCCGGCAUAUAUAUAUUUUCAGCAUUUGACAUAACCCUGUAUGUUUUGCAGGGACAACCCAGGACGUGCAUUUCUCAGCACCCAGUCAACUGCCAAAAGUGACUCAAACACAGGCCACCAGUGGAACUCGGCUGUACCACUGCAGUGCUGCGGGAAUUGCCUUCACCAGCGGCUUUGCAACAGCUGUUUCGCAGCAUGUCGGAGACAAUGCCUACGAAAUUAUUGGCCCUGAUCAUGAGAGCCCUCAAGGGGCAAACAACAUCUCUGUUGCAGAAGUGAGCCCGAUACCACUUGGAAUUUACCAUGACAGAUGACACGGCAGCAAUAGAUACAAAGACUGCCAUGUCUACUGCAGCUGCAACAGUGUACGAGGCAAGCAGCAGCGCGUCAGCAUCAGCAGCAGUGUCAGAAGGAACCACA
rnacentral:lncRNA from 1 species